rnacentral:rRNA from 1 species
UGGGGAAUAUUGGACAAUGGGCGAAAGCCUGAUCCAGCCAUGCCGCGUGUGUGAAGAAGGUCUUCGGAUUGUAAAGCACUUUAAGUUGGGAGGAAGGGCAUUAACCUAAUACGUUAGUGUUUUGACGUUACCGACAGAAUAAGCACCGGCUAACUCUGUGCCAGCAGCCGCGGUAAUACAGAGGGUGCAAGCGUUAAUCGGAAUUACUGGGCGUAAAGCGCGCGUAGGUGGUUUGUUAAGUUGGAUGUGAAAUCCCCGGGCUCAACCUGGGAACUUCAUUCAAAACUGACUGACUAGAGUAUGGUAGAGGGGGGUGGAAUUUCCUGUGUAGCGGUGAAAUGCGUAGAUAUAGGAAGGAACACCAGUGGCGAAGGCGACCACCUGGACUAAUACUGACACUGAGGUGCGAAAGCGUGGGGAGCAAACA